rnacentral:rRNA from 1 species
UACAGAGGUCUCAAGCGUUGUUCGGGAUUCAUUGGGCGUAAAGGGUGCGUAGGUGGCGCCGUAAGUCGGGUGUGAAAUUUCGGAGCUUAACUCCGAAACUGCAUUCGAUACUGCGGUGCUUGAGGACUGGAGAGGAGACUGGAAUUCAUGGUGUAGCAGUGAAAAUGCGUAGAGAUCAUGAGGAAGACCAGUGGCGAAGGCGGGUCUCUGGACAGUUCCUGACACUGAGGCACGAAGGCCAGGGGAGCAAACGGG